rnacentral:tRNA from 1 species
GGUUUGUGGCUCAAUGGUAAAGCACUCACCUAGCAUGUGUGAGGCCCUGGGUUCAAUUCUCAGCACCA